rnacentral:rRNA from 1 species
CGACGCAGCGUGCGGGAUGACGGCCUUCGGGUUGUAAACCGCUUUCAGCAGGGAAGAAGCGAAAGUGACGGUACCUGCAGAAGAAGUACCGGCUAACUACGUGCCAGCAGCCGCGGUAAUACGUAGGGUACGAGCGUUGUCCGGAAUUAUUGGGCGUAAAGAGCUCGUAGGUGGUUGGUCACGUCUGCUGUGGAAACGCAACGCUUAACGUUGCGCGUGCAGUGGGUACGGGCUGACUAGAGUGCAGUAGGGGAGUCUGGAAUUCCUGGUGUAGCGGUGAAAUGCGCAGAUAUCAGGAGGAACACCGGUGGCGAAGGCGGGACUCUGGGCUGUAACUGACACUGAGGAGCGAAAGCAUGGGGAGCGAACAGGAUUAGAUACCCUGGUAGUCCAUGCCGUAAACGUUGGGCACUAGGUGUGGGGGACAUUCCACGUUCUCCGCGCCGUAGCUAACGCAUUAAGUGCCCCGCCUGGGGAGUACGGUCGCAAGGCUAAAACUCAAAGGAAUUGACGGGGGCCCGCACAAGCGGCGGAGCAUGCGGAUUAAUUCGAUGCAACGCGAAGAACCUUACCAAGGCUUGACAUACACCAGACCGGCUUGGAAACAGGUCUUCCCCUUUGGGGUUGGUGUACAGGUGGUGCAUGGUUUGUCGUCAGCUCGUGUCGUGAGAUGUUGGGUUAAGUCCCGCAACGAGCGCAACCCUCGUUCUAUGUUGCCAGCACGUGAUGGUGGGAACUCAUAGGAGACUGCCGGGGUCAA